GUCUCUUUGUAGUCGUAUUGUGUCUCUUUUUGGUCAUUUGUGUUUCCUUUUGGGUAUCUGUGGUCAUUUGGCGAAUCUUUGUAGUCAGUUUGUGUCUCUUUGUGGUAGUUUUGCGUGUCUCUGGUUAUUUGUCGUCU